rnacentral:rRNA from 2 species
UUGAAGAGUUUGAUCAUGGCUCAGAUUGAACGCUGGCGGCAGGCCUAACACAUGCAAGUCGAACGGUAGCACAGAGAGCUUGCUCUUGGGUGACGAGUGGCGGACGGGUGAGUAAUGUCUGGGAAACUGCCCGAUGGAGGGGGAUAACUACUGGAAACGGUAGCUAAUACCGCAUAACGUCGCAAGACCAAAGUGGGGGACCUUCGGGCCUCACACCAUCGGAUGUGCCCAGAUGGGAUUAGCUAGUAGGUGGGGUAACGGCUCACCUAGGCGACGAUCCCUAGCUGGUCUGAGAGGAUGACCAGCCACACUGGAACUGAGACACGGUCCAGACUCCUACGGGAGGCAGCAGUGGGGAAUAUUGCACAAUGGGCGCAAGCCUGAUGCAGCCAUGCCGCGUGUAUGAAGAAGGCCUUCGGGUUGUAAAGUACUUUCAGCGAGGAGGAAGGCGUUAAGGUUAAUAACCUUAGCGAUUGACGUUACUCGCAGAAGAAGCACCGGCUAACUCCGUGCCAGCAGCCGCGGUAAUACGGAGGGUGCAAGCGUUAAUCGGAAUUACUGGGCGUAAAGCGCACGCAGGCGGUUUGUUAAGUCAGAUGUGAAAUCCCCGGGCUCAACCUGGGAACUGCAUUUGAAACUGGCAAGCUUGAGUCUCGUAGAGGGGGGUAGAAUUCCAGGUGUAGCGGUGAAAUGCGUAGAGAUCUGGAGGAAUACCGGUGGCGAAGGCGGCCCCCUGGACGAAGACUGACGCUCAGGUGCGAAAGCGUGGGGAGCAAACAGGAUUAGAUACCCUGGUAGUCCACGCCGUAAACGAUGUCUAUUUGGAGGUUGUUCCCUUGAGGAGUGGCUUCCGGAGCUAACGCGUUAAAUAGACCGCCUGGGGAGUACGGCCGCAAGGUUAAAACUCAAAUGAAUUGACGGGGGCCCGCACAAGCGGUGGAGCAUGUGGUUUAAUUCGAUGCAACGCGAAGAACCUUACCUACUCUUGACAUCCAGAGAACUUAGCAGAGAUGCUUUGGUGCCUUCGGGAACUCUGAGACAGGUGCUGCAUGGCUGUCGUCAGCUCGUGUUGUGAAAUGUUGGGUUAAGUCCCGCAACGAGCGCAACCCUUAUCCUUUGUUGCCAGCGGUCCGGCCGGGAACUCAAAGGAGACUGCCAGUGAUAAACUGGAGGAAGGUGGGGAUGACGUCAAGUCAUCAUGGCCCUUACGAGUAGGGCUACACACGUGCUACAAUGGCAUAUACAAAGAGAAGCGACCUCGCGAGAGCAAGCGGACCUCAUAAAGUAUGUCGUAGUCCGGAUUGGAGUCUGCAACUCGACUCCAUGAAGUCGGAAUCGCUAGUAAUCGUAGAUCAGAAUGCUACGGUGAAUACGUUCCCGGGCCUUGUACACACCGCCCGUCACACCAUGGGAGUGGGUUGCAAAAGAAGUAGGUAGCUUAACCUUCGGGAGGGCGCUUACCACUUUGUGAUUCAUGACUGGGGUGAAGUCGUAACAAGGUAACCGUAGGGGAACCUGCGGUUGGAUCACCUCCUU